UACAGAGGUCUCAAGCGAUAUUCGGAUUCAUGGGGCGUAAAAGGUGCGUAGGUGGUUGGGUAAGUCAAAUGUGAAAUCCCGGGGCGCAACUCCGGAACUGCAUUCGAUACUGCCCGGCUCGAGGAUUGGAGAGGAGACUGGAAUUCACGGUGUAGCAGUGAAAUGCGUAGAGAUCGUGAGGAACACCAGUGGCGAAGGCGGGUCUCUGGACAAUUCCUGACACUGAGGCACGAAGGCCAGGGGAGCAAACGGG
rnacentral:rRNA from 1 species